rnacentral:lncRNA from 1 species
ACAAUUCCUCGAUGUUCUGGCAUGGACAUGAUCUCCUUCGUGCUUCCAACACGGGAUUCCGAUCAAUAAGUUGGGGCCCCAAGCUUCUUCAGGAAAACAGUUUUUAUUUGUGCUAGCAGAUUCAUCCAAACUUCUGUUUCAAAGAACCAAGCCCCAAAGGCUCACUAGACGGAGCCUUUUGGAUUUUGCGUCUUUGUCUCCCAUACAUGGACCCCCCACCAUAGUGACAUGGUGGCAGAACAGGUGCAGACCCUGGU